CUUCAUGUAUUUCUAGUCCCAAGGCUUUUUUGAAGUUGUAAUAACUUUCUAGGCACUAGGAUUAUUUUCUUAUCUGAAAACAGCUCCACUAUUGUUCUAAUCCAUAGCUUUUCCAGUAGAGGGGCAUGGGUUUGAAUAGCUAUUGUGCUAGGCUCAGUAAUAAUAAUUUAUAGGGAGUUUACAAAAGUACUGAAGUCUGUUCAAGAUAUAUUUGGUUUAUAGUUUCUCCAUCCUACCCUAUGUCCCAGUUCCAGUAGCAUGUUUUGGGGGUUUAUUAGAAAUUACACACAGUUUAUUAGAUGAAAAACAAGGGAUGAAUCUUUCCAGCCUUUCCUUUCCUUCUUCUCCUUUGAAUCUGUUAAGUCUCUUUUUGAAAAGGUUCAGUUUCCCCUGAAUGUUAAAGAGACCACUUUCCUCGUAUUUAAUCUAGUAAACUUCCUCUAUAUAGUCUACAGCUCCUCUAGACUGAGGGCUAAGAUGUCCAGAGUAUAAUAAAUAAAAAGGUCUUUGCUCAUCAAAACGAGCAUUGAAAGAGAUAAGAAUUUGAACUGAGUAGGGAAUCUCAAGAUGUGUGAGGUGAAAGAGAAAGGUGGGGAAACAGCAAGUAUUCUGCUUAAGAAUUGUGCAGAUGCAAGUAGCAUAGCAGACUGUGUAACUAAUUAUAUACAAGUUAACUUUUAGGCCAAGGACAAUCUGCAAGGAAGAUGAGGAGCCUUCAUUCCUAUGACCACCAAGGGCAGAAAAAAGACCCCCUAGCACCCAAUUGCACCGGCGCAGAGUGCAUCGACAGAAAAUACAUCAACUGGAAAAAAAAAGGGACUAUAAAAACAAAAAGGUCAAAGGGGGAAGGUGCGCCGUGGCAGAGCAGAGACUCCCCGGCCGCCCAGCGUUGUUCUUUUGCUUAAUACUGCUUGCUUAAUAAAUUCUUGUUAAUUGAUUUAUCUAUAAUUAGCCUCCACAAUUGAAUUUGUCCAUAACAAAUUUGGUGCCGUGACUUGGAUAAGGGCGACCGGGUGGGAAUUCCUAAUCAGGGAGGCGUCCUGCUGCCUCUGCAGCAGCCCUGGUGCAGGCUUUGCAUUCCCGGACCCUUACUGACGAACCUAAAUUUGGUAUUAAGCAAAAGGUAACCCCGUAAUCUUUGUGCAUGAAGCCCAGGCGAAGACACAGGACAGCAUGAGUCUAAAAGUGGGGAUCCGCUCGGUUGGGGUUGGGAUCCCAGGACAUAACGCAUGAGAUGUCCUUUUAGGACGAGGCAAGUGCGGACCUCUAAGUAGUGCAGUUUCCAGACCCCGAGAGGGGCUGGGCCACAAACAGGGGGCCGCGAGUGUGUGUGUGCGUGAAGGUGUCCUGGAAGAUGGGAGAGAGGAAAAGCAAGCCCUCUGCUUCCAUGGGGAGGGGGACCCCGCUGAAGCUUCCCCAGAUACCCCCUGACAGUCCGUUAGGUCUAAUGAUAAAAUCUUGGGAUGAAUAUCCUUCAAGAAAAGGGAAGGAUAAGGCAAAAAUGAUACAUUAUUGUAUAAAAGUAUGGGGAGGGAAACAAAUCCGUAGUGAUAAUUUAUUUUGGCCAGUGUUUGGAAGCUUUGAGGACUGGAUUUACCAGGCAUUAAACAUUUAUGUAAACUCUAAAGAACCUUUUGAUAUGGAAGAGAGCAAGUAUGCUGCUCUCUGGAUAGUGGGGGAAACAAGAGCAAAACUUUUUGCCUUAAGCACCCAGGGAGGGAAAAAGAAAAAUAAAAAGCCUGAGGAAGUUCCAACUGCACCCCCUCUACCAUACGUACCUCCCCCUCCUCCACCCCCACCAGCACCACCCGCAGUCUACCCCGAUUUGGAUCAAGGGGGAGAUUUUGAUAACUAAGAGAUAAAAAUCCCAGAGCCGGUCCCUGAGAAAAAUCACCACGUUACUCGUAGUCUAACAAGGGGGGAAAGAGAAAGGGAAGGGCAAGCUCUGUAUCUAUUAAGGGAAGUAGCUUUGGGAAUAAUCCCUAACCCCAGUGCUGGUCAGCAGGGACAACCAGCCGAAAUUCCGGGAAUAGGUUAUGUGGAGGUACCUCUUAACUCAGGAGAUGUGAGGGAGUUCAAGAAAGAAAUGGGAGCAUAUGGGCCAAAUCUUAAAGGAAUUUUCUGACCCUAUAGCCUGGGACUUCCCAUGUGAACAAAUUCAGAAUCCAGCUGAGGUGGCAGAGUACCUGAAAGAGAAAUGCCAUGGUAAGUCUAAGGAGAAAAAGAUCAUUGCAGCGUUCUGGGCCCUGGCAUAUGCUUAUCGCACCCUGCUAGAUACUGUAGGGCAGCAGACAGAGGAAGGGGGGCAGGGAGAUAAAUCAGCAGCUAUCCCAGUCACUCAGGCUGCAGCCAACAGCCCAAGCUCAAAGCCAGCAGCUAAACCAGACUGUGAGCCUAAGCUAGGAGCUAAACCAGACUGUAAGCCUCAAACAGUGGCUGUUGCUACGAGCACAAUGGGCCAGUGAUAUCUCAGGCCAUCAGGGCAGAGAUGGCACCUGUAAGUGGGCACAAGACCAAGGGGUGGAUCUAACCAUGGACAGUAUUUCUCAGGUGAUCCAUGACUGUGAAGCGUGUACUGUGAUCAAGGAGGCCAAGCGAGUGAAGCCCCUCUGGUAUGGUGGGCGGUGGUCCAAGUACAAGUAUGGGGAGGCCUGGCAGAUUGACUACAUCACACUGCCCCAGACACGCCAAGGCAAGCGCCAUGUGCUCACAAUGGUAAAAGCCACCACAGGAUGGCUGGAAAAAGUUCUUUAUAGAAAGGGUUGUCCAGCCCUGAAACAGAAUGCCCAAGGCAGUGGUGGCACCCCCAUCUUGGCGUGGGGAUUUAAAAGCCAUGUGGAUAUGGCACUUGGGGACAUGAGUUAGUGGUGGAAUUGGUUGGACUCAAUCUUUUCCAACCCAAAUAAUUCUAUGAUUUUACAUUUAGCAGAGAAUGUUUACUGUUAGACCUGGAAUCUCAGACAUUCCCACAGCAGUAAUCCAAAUGGAGAUGUGUAAUUAGUAGCAUGAGUUGUGGAGACUUCUGAGGCGGGGAAGAUGAUCUUUAGAAUCAUGGUAUUUGAAACUUUGGAGACUUAUGCUUGGAUAUUUCUUUGACUGCCAGCUCAUGGAAACAUUAUCUAUGGGAUCUGUCUCACCGUUUUAAGAGUAACAGUAUAAGAGGAAAAAAAAACAACAAAAACCGAAAGAAAGCAAGAAACCAGAACACUGCUAGAGAACUAAACCUGCUCUGUAUGAUUGCUUAACUUUGCUAACUUCUGGCAGCUUGAAUAUUUCCCUUAAUCAGAGAGAGCUGAUAGGAAUGGACAAGAAAAAACAGACCCUUCCAUAUCUGUGGGCAUGAACAUUGCUGUCCACAAAUAAGUGUUCAGGUUAAGACUACCCAGAGACAAGCAGCAUUGCAUAAGAAGCCGAACAAAUACCAAAAACAUUUCCUUGGUACUGGAAGCAAAAACGUCUUGAGAAGGAAAAUGUAAUAGCAUCCUACUAAUAGUAAUUUGCAUGUUAGUUAAUUUACUUGUACUAAAAAUUAUGCCAGUCACAUGCAGCCCUGCCUCCCUGGGAGGAUGGAGCACUGGAGGGAGUGGGGGUGUGGUAAUUAGCCAAGUUUUCCUUGGUAUCCAGACUGACCCCAUUGCUCCGUGUUCUCCUUCUGCUUCUAGGAUGGUGCACCGAUUCAGACAACUGGAUUCAAAGGUACUUCUGUCCCAGAUUGCUCUGGGGAAUGUGAUUCUCUCUGGUAAAGCAGGGGGUGUGCCAUGGCAAGGAAAAUGAGCCUCCCAGAGUCGUGUGCAGUCUGUGUCACUGUCACCAGGGCCCCAUUUUAAUUGAGCUUUUUUACCGUGCUCUUUUGAUUCCACAGAUAGGAGUGUGUAGGGCGUGUAGUGAUUAGGACAGAAGGGAAUGGUUUUGAACUGAGAGUAGGAUUAGAUGGGAUAAUGGGAAAAAAUUCUUGGCUGUGAGUUUGGGCCCACCCUGGCACAGGGUACCCAGAGAAGCUGUGGCUGCCCCUGGAUCCCUGGAAGUAUCAAAAGCCAGGCUGGAUGGGGUUGGAGCAGCCAACAAUGAGCUGUGAGGUCCCUUCCAAGCCACAAGAGCUUUAUAUGAUGCAGGAAAAUGAAACAAAGACACUUGCUUAGCACUGGAGGAGUGUUUCUCAAUAUUCCUUGUGGGAUGGAAUAAAACGAAGUAAUUUACAUCUUAAACUGCAACAUUCAGCUGUAUAACAGGUCCAUGAAAUGCCAGUGGGAAGAAGGGAUGUCACACACUUGACAUGUCCCCAUCGCAAAGGUGUCUGUCAAGUUUAGCUUCUGGUGGUGUUGGCCUGGUGUAAUUAAGCAAUAUAAGGCUACCCAUCUACCAGAGAGCACAUUAUGAGAAUUGCCAUGCAAAUAAUCUUUUUAUGACUGUGAUGUUGAAAUGGGUAUGUGUGUUCACAGUGGGUAUUUUCUGAGGCUUGACUGAAUUAUCUGUUUGGCCUCUGAAGUGAGAAGUGGCUUUGGUAUGAAGCAAAGACUUUUCCAGAAGCUCAGGUGAAAAGACCCACAUAUACUUCAGAGUACUUUUUUUUUUUGUUACUGUCAAAUAAUUUAGAUUGCAAAAUAAUAGCUUGCUUCCAGACUGAAAGGGAAGUGGUGAGUGAGUCUGUGGCUAGUGAUGCUUUUCUUGAAACUGAAAGGAGAUCUGCUAACCUUAAUUCUCUCCUGAAAAGAAAUACCCAUCUCUUGCUUCUCUCUUCUGGUAACUGCUGGUUAACUCUCUGAAAUAGAGGCAUCAGGACUCGCUGCAUUAAUUGCCCUGAUGAACACUGUACUUGGGACUGUCCUCUCAAGCACUCUUGCAUUUGGUGUAAUACUUGCAGAGGCAAUUACUUGUUACUUUCAUUGCUCAUUAGCAUUGCAUUCCUUCAGCUAGAUGGACUUUACAAAAAUAACCUCCUCCUUUUUUUUUUUUUUUUUUUUUUUUUUUAAGCUCUCUGAUUUGAAGGGCUUUCUGAAAGAGAUUUCCAGUAAAAUUAAAUGAGUGGAGCUGAAAUUCAAGAGCAGCUACUGGAGCAGGGUACCAAUUAAUGAAGAAUAAUUGCUCGGAGCUGGCAGCAACCCCCAAGCAGAUGGUAACAGAGGCACCAGAGUAUCAAUGUCUCAGCAGGAGUCAGCAGGAUUUUCUUGCAAUUUUUAUUUUUGUUGAUCAAACAGUCCUUUCUCCUUGUUGCAAGGUUGUGGUGAAACUGGAGAUGACUGCUUAUCUCCUGACAUGAUUCCUGCCCAAACUCUUCUCAUCUGCCCUAAGGUCCAGUGGCAGCAAUUAGUCCUUGUUAAGCUGCUGUUGCAAAUCACUCCUAUUUCCAAGAGUUCUGCUGCUGUUGCCAAAAUCCCUUUGCUUUUCCAUUUCACUUGGAGGGACCUGUGCGUGGCUUUCCUUCAAGCACUAAUUGCAUGUCUGAAUGAAUCAAUCUCCCUUCCUGUUCUGCCCUGUAGUAGCUGGAUCUUGCUUGUUCCUUGCACGGGCUGUCAGACCUGCUGGGGUCUGGAAUGCUGGUGUGCCAGAAUGCAGUGCAUUUCAGCAUCAUCCCCCCAAGGAAAGCCUUUGGUCCAACCCUGCAUCCCUAUUUCAGACUGUAAAGGAACAUUGUGGACUUGUUCCCCCUCUACCCGGAACCUUUCAGCAGUGCAGAAGCUCAGCUAUUACAGCCCUGCAUGGGAGAGACAUUAAUUCAUCUAGGAACUGUUUCUAAGGCUUUGUGGGCAAUCCUUCCUUGGUUUCAGUCAUGAAAAUUUGUAUUCUGGGAAUGUUGGAAUUCAUUUGACUUUUCCAAUGUGUUUGCUGAUCUUUGCAGCUGGAAAUGGAAAAGAGAUUGUUGGAACCUUUAAAUAGAGCAGUGCUUGAUAUGGUCAGGUGGUGCUUUCUGUCUAAAAUAGCAGCUGAAUUCUGUCACUUUUUUUUUUUUUUUUUUUUUGUAUAACUGAGAGCAUAGCCAACUGAAGGCACUACAAAUAGCAUUUAUUUACAUGGCAAAGCAUUGUAUCAACCUUCCUUCCCAGUGUCUUGGAAUCAUGGAAUCACAGACUCACCAGAGGAAAGGACCUGCAAGGAUCAUGGAGUCCAACCCCUGGCCCUGCACAGACACCCCAACAAUCCUAUCCUAUGCAUCCCUGAGAGCAUUGUUCAAAUGUUCCUUGGGCUCUGUCAGCCUGGGGCUUUGCCCAUUCCCUGGGGGAGUCUGGUCAGUGCCCCAGCACCAUCUGGGAGAAGAACCUUUUCCUAAAAUUCCACCUUACCCUGCCCUGACACAGCUCCAGCCGCUCCCUCAGGUGCUGUCCCUGUCACAGAGAGCAGAGAUUGGAGCUGUCCUUUGGGAGAGAGCUGCCAGCCAUGCUGAGACCUCCUCCUCUUCUCCAAGCUGAACAAGCCAAUUGACCUCAGCUGUUCCUCAUACAGCUUCCUCUCCUGGCCCCUCAUCAUCUUCAUUCCCCUCUUUGGAUACUCUCUGCAGGCCUUAUAUCCUUAUGAUACAUUCAGAGAGGUUGCUGCUCUUUUCUCCCUGCAUUUCAUCACCCAACUGUACUGUAUGCUGUGCAUGACAUCAUCCUGGGGUCUCCAGCACUAACAAUAGCAGUGGUAUCUGUUUUCAUGUGGAAAUAUUUCCUGCUGAAAAGUAAAGGAGCCAGGCUUUCACUGAUUCACAUGGCAGUUAGCUGCAUCAUAAAUUCUUGAGAUAAGGUUCCUUUCUGGAAAUUAUUUUUCCCAUAUCAUUUGUCUGCCUUGGAUGUGAAAAUUGUGCUUUUUGUUCACUCCCUUCCUAUAUAAAACCUGUGGAAUGCUUUCAACCCUUCCGGGAAAUCCCAAGGGCCUUGCCUUGGAAGAAUAUACAAUAGUCUCCACCUAGGCUUAAAGAGAAGACUUCUGCCAUGGAGCCUUGCAACACCAGGAUCCACCCCCGUUCCUUUCCCCGUGUCCCAAAUUCUUGCAGUUUUUCCUUUCCCUGUUUCCUCAUUGGUCCUUGGUCGUGGUAUCCCUGGUGGCUGGCCCCGUCUUCCCUGUAGGCCAAUGCCCUUUGCCCUGCCCUUUGUGCUGCCCCCGUGCCCUCAGACCAUUGGCCACUGACCCCUGCUUAACCUUGUGCAGAGCACAUGGCCAGGUCUUUGUCCCUGAUCCCUUCAGCCUGGUGGAUGCAAUAAACCUUUGCUGGAAUACAUCAUAAA